AAGUCGAACGAAGUAGCAAUACUUAGUGGCAGACGGGUGAGUAACAUGUGGGUAUCUACCCUUUGGCCUGGAAUAACACGAGGAAACUUGUGCUAAUACCGGAUAAGUCUUUACGGAGAAAGCUUUAUGCACCAUUGGAUGAGCCCGCACUUGAUUAGUUUGUUGGUAGGGUAAUGGCCUACCAAGACUAUGAUCAAUAGCUGAUUUGAGAGGAUGAUCAGCCACAUUGGGACUGAGACACGGCCCAAACUCCUACGGGAGGCAGCAGUGGGGAAUCUUGCACAAUGGAGGAAACUCUGAUGCAGCGAUGCCGCGUGAGUGAAGAAGGCCCUUGGGUUGUAAAGCUCUUUCGUCGGGGAAGAAAAUGACUGUACCCGAAUAAGAAGGUCCGGCUAACUUCGUGCCAGCAGCCGCGGUAAUACGAAGGGACCUAGCGUAGUUCGGAAUUACUGGGCUUAAAGAGUUCGUAGGUGGUUGAAAAAGUUGGUGGUGAAAUCCCAGAGCUUAACUCUGGAACUGCCAUCAAAACUUUUCAGCUAGAGUAUGAUAGAGGAAAGCAGAAUUUCUAGUGUAGAGGUGAAAUUCGUAGAUAUUAGAAAGAAUACCAAUUGCGAAGGCAGCUUUCUGGAUCAUUACUGACACUGAGGAACGAAAGCAUGGGUAGCGAAGAGGAUUAGAUACCCUCGUAGUCCAUGCCGUAAACGAUGUGUGUUAGACGUUGGAAAUUUAUUUUCAGUGUCGCAGGGAAACCGAUAAACACACCGCCUGGAGAGUACGACCGCAAGGUUAAAACUCAAAUGAAUUGACGGGGACCCGCACAAGUAGUGAGCAUGUGGUUUAAUUCGAAGAUACGCGCAGAACCUUACCAACACUUGACAUGUUCGUCGCGACUCUAAGAGAUUA
rnacentral:rRNA from 1 species